rnacentral:rRNA from 1 species
CCUACGGGACGCAGCAGUGGGGAAUAUUGCGCAAUGGGCGAAAGCCUGACGCAGCGACGCCGCGUGAGGGAUGAAGGUCUUCGGAUCGUAAACCUCUGUCAGCAGGGAAGAACGGUCACUGUGCUAAUCAGCAGUGAAUUGACGGUACCUGCAAAGGAAGCACCGGCUAACUCCGUGCCAGCAGCCGCGGUAAUACGGAGGGUGCGAGCGUUAAUCGGAAUUACUGGGCGUAAAGCGCUCGUAGGCGGUAUGUCAAGUCAGGGGUGAAGUCCCCGGGCUCAACGUGGGAACUGCCUUGGAAACUGGCAGGCGGGAGUGUGGGAGAGGAGAGUAGAAGUCCAGGUGUAGGAGUGAAAUCCGGAGAGAUCUGGAGGAACAGCAGUGGCGAAGGCGACUAUCGGGAACAUGACUGACGCUGAGGGGCGAAAGCGUGGGGAGCAAACAGGAUUAGAUACCCCUGUAGUC